GAUGAACGCUGGCGGCGUGCCUAAUACAUGCAAGUCGAGCGAACAGACGAGGAGCUUGCUCCUCUGACGUUAGCGGCGGACGGGUGAGUAACACGUGGAUAACCUACCUAUAAGACUGGGAUAACUUCGGGAAACCGGAGCUAAUACCGGAUAAUAUAUUGAACCGCAUGGUUCAAUAGUGAAAGACGGUUUUGCUGUCACUUAUAGAUGGAUCCGCGCCGCAUUAGCUAGUUGGUAAGGUAACGGCUUACCAAGGCAACGAUGCGUAGCCGACCUGAGAGGGUGAUCGGCCACACUGGAACUGAGACACGGUCCAGACUCCUACGGGAGGCAGCAGUAGGGAAUCGUCCGCAAUGGGCGAAAGCCUGACGGAGCAGCGCCGCGUGAGUGAUGAAGGUCUUCGGAUCGUAAAACUCUGUUAUUAGGGAAGAACAAAUGUGUAAGUAACUAUGCACGUCUUGACGGUACCUAAUCAGAAAGCCACGGCUAACUACGUG
rnacentral:rRNA from 1 species